AAGCUGAGUACCUCCUUCCUAGCUACUGGCCUGUCAGAAACUCAUUGAAGUGGAUGAUGAAGCUGACUGCCUCCUUCCUGGCCACAGAAGGAGCUGCUGAUGUUCUGGGUGUUGAGUGGAAGUGUUACUUGGUCCAAAUUAGUGGUGGAAAUAACAAUCACUACUUUCUCAUGAAGUGAGGUAUCUUGACUCAUAGUAUAGUGAACUUGCUAUUGAGUGAGGGGAAUUCUUAGUACAGACAAAGAAGAACUAGGGAGAGGAGUCCUAAGUCUGUGUGUGGAUGUCAAUCUGAGUUACUUUACUUGGUUAUGGAAACAGAAAGAGAGAAGGAUAUUGCUGGACUGACAGAUGCUACUGUGCCUCAAUGACUGGAGCACAAAGAGCUAACAGGAUCCAAAAGCCUUUCCAUCUAUUUAAAGAUGAUGUCUGCAAAUAUAUUGUCAGAUAACUCUUAAAGAAAAUAAGCCCAGAACCAACACAUCCAAGAUUCAGCAUCUUUUUAUUCUACAUGUCCUGCAGCACAAAUACUGAAGAAACAAUGUACUAAGAAAACAAGAGGCUGCUAAACUUUUGGCCAAAAGAGUGAAGUAAACCAAAGAAAGACAUCAGGAACACAUGCCAAGAGAAGUAGGCUGCUGUGCCUAAGCGCUUCUAAUUUUAAGUCCAGCAAAGAUGA
rnacentral:lncRNA from 1 species